GGUCAUGGCUCAGUGGCAGAACGUCAGCUUGGCAUGCAGAAUGUCCAGGGUUCAAUCUCCAGGUAAAAGGACCA
rnacentral:tRNA from 1 species